AUUGAACGCUGGCGGCAUGCUUUACACAUGCAAGUCGAACGGUAACAGGCCGCAAGGUGCUGACGAGUGGCGAACGGGUGAGUAAUGCAUCGGAACGUGCCCAGUCGUGGGGGAUAACUACUCGAAAGAGUAGCUAAUACCGCAUACGAUCUAUGGAUGAAAGCGGGGGACCGUAAGGCCUCGCGCGAUUGGAGCGGCCGAUGUCAGAUUAGGUAGUUGGUGGGGUAAAGGCUCACCAAGCCAACGAUCUGUAGCUGGUCUGAGAGGACGACCAGCCACACUGGGACUGAGACACGGCCCAGACUCCUACGGGAGGCCGCAGUGGGGAAUUUUGGACAAUGGGCGCAAGCCUGAUCCAGCAAUGCCGCGUGCAGGAAGAAGGCCUUCGGGUUGUAAACUGCUUUUGUACGGAACGAAACGGCUCUGGUUAAUACCCGGGGCUAAUGACGGUACCGUAAGAAUAAGCACCGGCUAACUACGUG
rnacentral:rRNA from 1 species